rnacentral:rRNA from 1 species
AUGGCCAGAACACAAGGGAAAAAAGAAGAAGAAAGAAAAGCUCUUUGGCCCCAGAAAUUCCAUGUCCAUUACUUUCUUGCACGCCCUGUUCCACCUGUCCGAUUGAUGGCUCAGUUCACUUUGAUAAGCCGCGUCACUUGUGACCGAAAAUGUCGUCAAGAAAAAGGCGAAGGAGCAGGUGAAGGAAAAGGGAAGGCCAGGAGGAAAACAGCACCAGGAAAGGGGAAAACGCACACGAACCGGGCACAUUAUUUGCAAUGUAUGAAGUGUGGUGGUGCUAGAUGGAGGAUAUGGAACAACAAGUUGGCAUGGAGUACUUUCUCCCUCCGGAAUUACUCGACGCUCAAACGGACGUAUCCAGUAGAUAACAUUCCGGAGGGAGUACUUGGCAGCAAUUUCAUGUCCUGCACAAAGAUAAUAUAUAUUCCAGUAUACUACUAG